rnacentral:misc_RNA from 1 species
GUCAUUCUCCUGAAGACACAGUGGCUGCGCAAGUACUUUAUCGCCUGGGCCUGGCAGAAGGAAUCAGACAUGGGAGGCAAAUCAGUCGGCUCUUCAGCAUUGAGAAUGCCAAGAAGAAGGCCCUGCAGCUUGAAGAUGAGGGAAAGGAGGAUUUGGACUUCUCUUGUAAUAUUCUAGUCCUUGGGAAGACAGGAGUUGGCAAAAGUGCUACUAUAAAUUCCAUUUUUGGCGAAGGCAAGUCUACCACAAGUUCAUUCAAACCAGCGACGACCUUCGUGAGGG